rnacentral:rRNA from 1 species
AUGCAUGUCUAAGUAUAAGCACUGGUACUGUGAAACUGCGAAUGGCUCAUUAAAUCAGUUAUCGUUUAUUUGAUCGUACGUCUUUUUGAAUUACUUGGAUACCCGUAGUAAUUCUAGAGCUAAUACAUGCGAAAAAUCCCGACUGGUCCGGCUCGUCCGGGCGAGGAAGGGACGAGUUUGUUAGAGUAAAAACCAAUCCGGUCUCGCAAGAGCCGGUUUUUGAGGUGAGUCACAGUAAUCGAUCGAAUCGCAUGGCCUUUGCGCCGGCGAUGCAGCAUUCAAAUUUCUGCCCUAUCAGCUGUCGAUGGUAAGGUAGCGGCUUACCAUGGCUACAACGGGUGACGGAGAAUUAGGGUUCGGUUCCGGAGAGGGAGCCUGAGAAACGGCUACCACA